CCCUUAGAUGUUCUGGGCGGCACGCGUGCUACAUUGACACGGACACCAAGUAGAACCGCUUGCUCGAGAGGGCUGGCUAAUCUCUAAUCCGUGUCGUAAUGGGGAUUGCACUUUGCAAGUAGUGCACCAACGAGGAAUCUCUUGUAAUCGUGUGUCAUCAACGCGCGAUGAAUACGUCUCUGUCUCUUGUACACACCGCCCGUCGCUUCUACCGAUUGGAUUUUUCAGUAAAGAUUCGGGAUUGCGCGGGGAGAGCGGGCAACCGCGCCUCGAGCGAGAACUUGUUUGAACUGAAAUGUCUAGAGGAAGGAGAANUCGUAACA
rnacentral:rRNA from 1 species